AGUCAGACAAGCUAUCGCCUCCUUUCUUGGYAACAGGUUUCCGCACUGAAGGCGUCUGCUUCUCUCGAACAUUUUUUGCUCUGAAAUGACGACGAGAUGGUCGCUAGAAUGUGUUUGGGGGCCGUGGAGGUGCUUUGGGUUUUCGCGGAUCUCUUCUGAUCCCCGUGACUUUAAGUGCAUGCUGCGCCGUCCGUCAUCUCGUGACGUCUCGGUGCUCGGAACAGCUCUGACUAUUUUGUUUUCCGGGCACUAGCGACAGGCGAGAGAAGUUUGAUUCUCUCCUAACCGACGCCGCCGGCCGUCGUGCUGGACUCGGAUUGAUCGGAUAUCAUCGAGCCGCCGGCGUGCUGGAAGCUGCGUGGGAGAAAUGAAGCUCAUGACGGCGCCCAGUUAAAAAACYAAAGCAAGUGCGCUCGCAUAGCGCUGCUUGCUUUUGUUUCAUAUA
rnacentral:misc_RNA from 1 species